AUAAAGGAAGUCAAUACCUGGAACAACCUUCACGUGCUACCAUAUCAGAAUUAGAUUCAGGGAAGAAUAGAACAGCAAGAUACAGAGGAUGCAACACAGUCAAAAGGCACAGAACAGCUAGAAACAAGAGCCGUCUCUUCUCCAGGCUGAACAGUCCCAGCUCUCUCAGCCUGUCCUUGUAGGAGAGGUGUUCCAUCCCUUGGAUAUUUUCGUGGCCCUCCUCUGGAUGCAAUCCAACAGCUCCGUGUCUCUCCUGUCCUGAGGACUCCAUAUCUGGACUCAGUAGCCCAGGUGAGGCCUCACCAGCGCAGAGCAGAGGGGCAGGAUCACUCCCUCGCCCUGCUGACCACACUGCUUUGGAUGCAGCCCAGGAUACGGUUUGCUUUCUGGUCUGCAAGAGCACAUGUCCAGCUUGCCAUCCACCAGUACUCCCAGGUCCUUUUUGGUAAGGCUGCACUCAAUCAUUUAUCCCCCAGCUUGUAUUGGUAGUGGAUGUUGCCUUGAC
ensembl:lncRNA